GUGUCAGCAGCCGCGGUAAUACGUAGGGUGCGAGCGUUAUCCGGAAUCAUUGGGUUUAAAGGGUCCGCAGGCGGAUUUAUAAGUCAGUGGUGAAAGCCUACAGCUCAACUGUAGAACUGCCAUUGAUACUGUAAGUCUUGAAUUCGGUCGAAGUGGGCGGAAUAUGACAUGUAGCGGUGAAAUGCUUAGAUAUGUCAUAGAACACCGAUAGCGAAGGCAGCUCACUAGGCCUGGAUUGACGCUCAGAGACGAAAGCGUGGGGAGCAAACAGGAUUAGAAACCCCGGUAGUCC
rnacentral:rRNA from 1 species